rnacentral:rRNA from 1 species
AUUGAACGCUGGCGGCAGGCUUAACACAUGCAAGUCGAGCGGUAGAGGGGAGCUUGCUUCCCUUGAGAGCGGCGGACGGGUGAGUAAUGCCUAGGAAUCUGCCUGGUAGUGGGGGACUACGUUCGGAAACGGACGCUAAAACCGCAUACGUCCUACGGGAGAAAGUGGGGGAUCUUCGGACCUCACGCUAUCAGAUGAGCCGAGGUCGGAUUAGCUAGGUGGUAGGGUAAAGGCCUACCAAAGCGACGAUCCGUAACUUGUCUGAUAGGAUGAUCAGUCAUAGUGGAACUGAGAUCCGGUCCAGACUCCUACGUGAGGCAGCAGUGGUGAAUAUUGGACAAUGGGCGCAAGCCUGAUCCAGCCAUGCCGCGUGUGUGAAGAAGGUCUUCGGAUUGUAAAGCACUUUAAGUUGUGAGGAAGUUCAGUAAGUUAAUACCUUGUUGAAUUGACGUUACCGACAGGAUCAGCACCGGCUAACUCUGUGCCAGCAGCCGCAGUAACAC